rnacentral:rRNA from 1 species
UCUUUUUGAAUAGAAUUUUAAGUUUAAUCUGCCCGUUGAUUUUUAUUAAGAGGCCGCGGUAUUUUAACUGUGCAAAGGUAGCAUAAUCAAUAGUUUUUUAAUUAGGGACUGGAAUGAAUGAUUUAAUGAGAUUAUUUUUUUCAUUUAUUUUAUAUUUGGAAAUUGAAAUUUAAGUGAAAAUGCUUAAAUUUUAAUGUGGGACGAGAAGACCCUAAAAUUUUUAUUUUAGGUUAAUUUAUGGUGUGGGGAUAUUUUGUUAAAUUGUUUAAUUGAAAUUUAAUUGGGGUGAUUUAGUAAAUUAUAAAACUUAAUUUUAAAUUACCAUGUAUUUUUGAAUUUUUUGAUCCUUUAUUUUUGAUGUUGGUUUAAAUUACUUUAGGGAUAACAGCGUUAUUUUAUUUAAAAGUUCUUAUUUAUAAUAAAGGUUGCGACCUCGAUGUUGAAUUAAAAAUUUUUAUAGGGGAAGAUUUUUAUAAAAAUAGUCUGUUCGACUAUUAAAUCU